CUGCCUACGGGACGCAGCAGUGGGGAAUAUUGCACAAUGGGGGAAACCCUGAUGCAGCGACGCCGCGUGAGUGAAGAAGUAUUUCGGUAUGUAAAGCUCCAUCAGCAGGGAAGAAAAUGACGGUACCUGACCAAGAAGCCCCGGCUAACUACGUGCCAGCAGCCGCGGUAAUACGUAGGGGGCAAGCGUUAUCCGGAUUUACUGGGUGUAAAGGGAGCGUAGACGGCUGUGCAAGUCAGAAGUGAAAGCCCGGGGCUCAACCCCGGGACUGCUUUUGAAACUGUGCGGCUAGAGUGUCGGAGGGG
rnacentral:rRNA from 1 species